GGGUAUUCAUAAGCAGCCUGAUCUCUUUGUGUUCCUAGGGCAAAGGAUCACUUAGAAGAAAAGUAAAUUGUAGGUUUCUUAACUCCAGUGCUCUUCCUUCAGGACUGGAAUCACAGGAAAAAAGCAGUCAUACUUCCAGAAGCCAAGAGGUAUACUGCUGGUGAGGAGAAGGCUGCAGCCCCAACCUGGCGACCGGAGACCCCUUGGAGCAUCUCUCUAGACUCGCCUGGAGCCAGACAGCAGCAAGGGACCACGAAUGCUGUGGGCGAGGCGUUUAUUUUACACGGGAGCACCACGGAGAGGUUUAUUGGAGGUGGUGGCCACGUUACAUGAUCAGGAUCCCUUGUCCAAGGGCUGGAGUAUAAUUAUGGGAGCGCUCUCAUUUACAUACUACCAGAAUACUGCCAAGAAAUAUUAAUGGAUUG